GGGGGUGCCAGGGACUGGGUGCCGGUGGGGUCCGCUGCGAAUACUGGGGGUGGGCAGUUGGGACUCAGGGCCCCAGGCCCUCGGGGCUGCGGGGCCGCCUCUUCCAAACGCGCCUUAAGCGGUUUUGCAGUGGCUUUCCGCCGGAGGGCUGGGAGGCGCCCCGGCCCUGAGUCAGUCACCCUUUGGCCGGACAGGCGGUUCCCGGGCGCGGAGGAUGGAAACCUGGCGGUAACCUCUGCAGGUCGUGCCACUCGGUGUGCGCAAGGUCUCCAGAGGCAUCUUUUCAUUUUUAGGGGGCACUUUCCACGAAUUCAUUUGAGCUACACAGCAGUCCUGGGCAGUGGGGAGUGGUGAGCUCCAUUGUGUACACUUGGAAGCAGCCCAGAAAGGUGAGGAAAUUAAAGUUGAGAGACACUAAGCAACUGCCCCAGGCUUCCAUGGCAGAAUGAGGAUUCAGGUCGAGCCUGUCUAACUGUUAACCCCAUCCCUUUCCAUCACAUUUUUAUGCCUACCUAGCAUGGGCCUGGUUGGCAGGGCUCUUGAAGUAGAGCUUCUCAAAUGCAACUGCACCUGUGCAUCUUGCUAAGAUGUGGAUUCUGAUGCAGGACUUCUGGGUGGGGGCUGAGACUCCAUUUCUAACAAGUCCCCAAGUCAUUCCAAUGCUGCUGGCCUGCAAAGCACAAUGUGAGAAGCAGGAGUUCAGCCCCCGCCCCCCUCAUUUUGCAGCAGAAGAAAUUGAGGUUGUUGAAGUCAAGUGACUUACUUCAAGUGGCAUGGCACGUUAGUGGAAGAGGCAGGAUACAGACAUGGGAAUGCUAAUUUCCAGUCCAGAGCCUUGCCUUUACCAUGUGUGUCAGUUACUAGGCUAUUGUCUCUUUGCUCCAACCCCAUCCUUCCGCACUUAGCUUUGGAUGCUGGGGUUGUGCUAUGGACUGAAUAUUUGUGUCCCUCCCCAAAUCCAUGUGUUGAAGCCUAAUCCUCAGUGGGAUGGAAUUAGGAGGUGGGGAAGUAAUUAGGUCAGGAGAGUGGAGCCCUCAUAAGUGGGAUUAGUGCCUUCAUAAGAGACAAGAGACAGCUUGCAUCCUCGUGCUCUGCAAUCCACUGUAUGAGCGUAGAAUGAGAAGACAGCUGUCUGCAAAGAAGAGUGUCCUCAUCAGACUCUAGAUCAGCUGGCACCUUGAUCUUGGACUUCUCAGCCUCCAUAACUGUGAAAAAUAAAUGUUAUUUGAGAUACUCA
ensembl:lncRNA DHCR24-DT DHCR24 divergent transcript